UAUUAAAAUUUCAUCUAUUUAUAUUGUUAAAAAUUGGUUUUGUUGACAGAAUAACUGGAUAGUAAUAUGUAACAUGCUAUAUAUAUCUCAUGUCGGCAUGUAGGGACAAAUUUUUAGCAAUAUAAAUGGAUGAAUUUUUUAAUA
rfam:Gossypium raimondii Chr04_contig_1324, whole genome shotgun sequence.